rnacentral:lncRNA from 1 species
UCUAAUUCAUGCUCCGCAACCUGGAAUGCCCUAUGUCACAUCCCGGUCAGGGUCCACCACCGUAGCACGAUAUUAUCCGCUUUGGGCUUACCAUUCCAUCACGAUUUUGUUUUUGGGAACUCACGAGCAACUUCCCAGUGGGUCACCCAUCUUGGGAGUGCUCUGGCCUCCUUCUCGCUUAACUUUGGAGUUCCUACAAAACCCAAAGUCAGUGAGCUCCCA